GAUGAACGCUGGCGGCGUGCUUAACACAUGCAAGUCGAACGAAGCACUUAUCUUUGAUUCUUCGGAUGAAGAGGUUUGUGACUGAGUGGCGGACGGGUGAGUAACGCGUGGGUAACCUGCCUCAUACAGGGGGAUAACAGUUAGAAAUGACUGCUAAUACCGCAUAAGACCACAGAGCCGCAUGGCUCGGUGGGAAAAACUCCGGUGGUAUGAGAUGGACCCGCGUCUGAUUAGGUAGUUGGUGGGGUAACGGCCUACCAAGCCAACGAUCAGUAGCCGACCUGAGAGGGUGACCGGCCACAUUGGGACUGAGACACGGCCCAAACUCCUACGGGAGGCAGCAGUGGGGAAUAUUGCACAAUGGGGGAAACCCUGAUGCAGCGACGCCGCGUGAGCGAAGAAGUAUUUCGGUAUGUAAAGCUCUAUCAGCAGGGAAGAAAAUGACGGUACCUGACUAAGAAGCACCGGCUAAAUACGUGCCAGCAGCCGCGGUAAUACGUAUGGUGCAAGCGUUAUCCGGAUUUACUGGGUGUAAAGGGAGCGUAGACGGCUGUGUAAGUCUGAAGUGAAAGCCCGGGGCUCAACCCCGGGACUGCUUUGGAAACUAUGCAGCUAGAGUGUCGGAGAGGUAAGUGGAAUUCCCAGUGUAGCGGUGAAAUGCGUAGAUAUUGGGAGGAACACCAGUGGCGAAGGCGGCUUACUGGACGAUGACUGACGUUGAGGCUCGAAAGCGUGGAGAGCAAACAGGAUUAGAUACCCUGGUAGUCCACGCCGUAAACGAAGACUACUAGGUGUCGGGGAGCAAAGCUCUUCGGUGCCGCCAGCAAACGCAAUAAGUAGUCCACCUGGGGAGUACGUUCGCAAGAAUGAAACUCAAAGGAAUUGACGGGGAGCCGCACAAGCGGUGGAGCAUGUGGUUUAAUUCGAAGCAACGCGAAGAACCUUACCUGCUCUUGACAUCCCGGUGACCGGCAUGUAAUGAUGCCUUUUCUUCGGAACACCGGUGACAGGUGGUGCAUGGUUGUCGUCAGCUCGUGUCGUGAGAUGUUGGGUUAAGUCCCGCAACGAGCGCAACCCUUAUCUUCAGUAGCCAGCAAUUCGGAUGGGCACUCUGGAGAGACUGCCAGGGAUAACCUGGAGGAAGGUGGGGAUGACGUCAAAUCAUCAUGCCCCUUAUGAGCAGGGCUACACACGUGCUACAAUGGCGUAAACAAAGGGAAGCGAGCCUGCGAGGGUAAGCAAAUCUCAAAAAUAACGUCUCAGUUCGGAUUGUAGUCUGCAACUCGACUACAUGAAGCUGGAAUCGCUAGUAAUCGCGAAUCAGCAUGUCGCGGCGAAUACAAACCCGGGUCUUGCACUCCCCGCCCGUCAAGGG
rnacentral:rRNA from 1 species